GGCGAACGCUGGCGGCGUGCCUAAUACAUGCAAGUUGAGCGAUGAAGAUUGGUGCUUGCACCAAUUUGAAGAGCAGCGAACGGGUGAGUAACGCGUGGGGAAUCUGCCUUUGAGCGGGGGACAACAUUUGGAAACGAAUGCUAAUACCGCAUAAUAACUUUAAACAUAAGUUUUAAGUUUGAAAGAUGCAAUUGCAUCACUCAAAGAUGAUCCCGCGUUGUAUUAGCUAGUUGGUGAGGUAAAGGCUCACCAAGGCGAUGAUACAUAGCCGACCUGAGAGGGUGAUCGGCCACAUUGGGACUGAGACAGGGCCCAAACUCCUACGAGAGGCAGCAGUAGGGAAUCUUCGGCAAUGGACGAAAGUCUGAUCGAGCAACGCCGCGUGAGUGAAGAAGGUUUUCGGAUCGUAAAACUCUGUUGGUAGAGAAGAACGUUGGUGAGAGUGGAAAGCUCAUCAAGUGACGGUAACUACCCAGAAAGGGACGGCUAACUACGUG
rnacentral:rRNA from 1 species